UACGUAGGGUGCAAGCGUUGUCCGGAAUUAUUGGGCGUAAAGAGCUCGUAGGCGGUCUGUCGCGUCUGCUGUGAAAACUCGGGGCUUAACCCCGGGCCUGCAGUGGGUACGGGCAGACUAGAGUGCGGUAGGGGAGACUGGAAUUCCUGGUGUAGCGGUGAAAUGCGCAGAUAUCGGGAGGAACACCAGUAGCGAAGGCGGCACUCUGGGCCGGUACUGACGCUGAGGAGCGAAAGCGUGGGGAGCAAACAGG
rnacentral:rRNA from 1 species